ACAUUGGUAAAUUAACCAACAAAGUAUCAAGCAAUCUCUACUAAAAUCCCUUAUAAACUCUCUAUCUAUUCCUACUCCUGCCUUCCUCCCAAAUCCUUUAACCCCAGAUGAUAUUCAUCCAUAAAACUCAUCAGAGAUAAAUCCUUUAACCCCAGAUGAUAUUCAUCCAUAAAACUCAUCAGAGAUUUCCAGAUCUGUACAGUUGAUGACCAUGGAUCAGUCCAUUUUCAGAUCUUUGAUUGAAUGGUUUAGAUUGAUUCAAUUAAAGAUUGAUGUUCGCAUAUCCUCGAAGCAGAAAGUGAAAAUUGAGAGCAAUUGGGAAGAUAUUAGCAGUUUAUAUCUAUGAAGUUUCCUUUUAAGAGUUCUCUUUUAUUUUCGAUCAAACCUCCUAUCCAGGGGCGGAGCUACAGUGUUAUGUGGGGAAAGAGUUUGGACGAAUUCAAUUACUUUUCUAUAACUUCUAUAUUUGUAUUAGAAAAUCGAAUAACUAAACAAAAAUAUUUUACAUAAUUGGAUGAUUCAUUGGUAAGUAAGAGGCUACCACAUUAAUCAAUAUUUUCUCCUUUUCAGCAA